GGCCGGGGCGGGGUGCUAUACAUGCAAGUCGAGCGAAUUGAUGGGAGCUUGCUCCCUGAUAUUAGCGGCGGACGGGUGAGUAACACGUGGGUAACCUGCCUGUAAGAUUGGGAUAACUCCGGGAAACCGGAGCUAAUACCGGAUAACAUGUUGAACCGCAUGGUUCAACAUUGAAAGAUGGCUUUUGCUAUCACUUACAGAUGGACCCGCGGCGCAUUAGCUAGUUGGUGAGGUAACGGCUCACCAAGGCAACGAUGCGUAGCCGACCUGAGAGGGUGAUCGGCCACACUGGGACUGAGACACGGCCCAGACUCCUACGGGAGGCAGCAGUAGGGAAUCUUCCGCAAUGGACGAAAGUCUGACGGAGCAACGCCGCGUGAACGAUGAAGGCCUUCGGGUCGUAAAGUUCUGUUGUUAGGGAAGAACAAGUACCAGAGUAACUGCUGGUACCUUGACGGUACCUAACCAGAAAGCCACGGCUAACUACGUGCCAGCAGCCGCGGUAAUACGUAUGUGGCAAGCGUUGUCCGGAAUUAUUGGGGCGUAAAGCGCGCGCAGGUGGUUUCUUAAGUCUGAUGUGAAAGCCCACGGCUCAACCCGUGCACGGUCAGUUGAAAAACUGGGGGAACUUGAGUGCAGAAAAGGAAAGUGGAAAUUCCAAGUGUAGCGGUGAAAUGCGUAGAGAUUUGGGAGGAACACCAGGUGGACGAAGCCACGUUUCUGCUCCUGUAACCUGACACUGAGCGCGAAAGCGUGGAGGAAGCCGAACAGGCAUUAGAUACCCCUGGGUAGUCCCACGCCAGUAAACGAUGAGUGGCUACCUGUUAGAAGGAUUCCGCCCUUCUGCUGCAGCAAACGCAUUCAGGCACUCCGGCUGGGGGGAGUACGGUCGCAGGGACUGAACUCAAAUGAACUUGACAGAGAGACCCGCACAGCGGUUGAGCCAUGUCGAUUACUCGGAGCACCGCGGAGAACUACUAGUCCUGACAUUCGCACUGACUGGUUCAAGGAAGUAUCCUUCGUACCGGGACGAUGUGACAAGUGUUGCAAUGAUGUCGUCAG
rnacentral:rRNA from 1 species